UGGGGAAUAUUGCACAAUGGGCGCAAGCCUGAUGCAGCCAUGCCGCGUGUGUGAAGAAGGCCUUCGGGUUGUAAAGCACUUUCAGCGAGGAGGAAGGUGGUGAACUUAAUACGUUCAUCAAUUGACGUUACUCGCAGAAGAAGCACCGGCUAACUCCGUGCCAGCAGCCGCGGUAAUACGGAGGGUGCAAGCGUUAAUCGGAAUUACUGGGCGUAAAGCGCACGCAGGCGGUUUGUUAAGUCAGAUGUGAAAUCCCCGGGCUCAACCUGGGAACUGCAUUUGAGACUGGCAAGCUAGAGUCUCGUAGAGGGGGGUAGAAUUCCAGGUGUAGCGGUGAAAUGCGUAGAGAUCUGGAGGAAUACCGGUGGCGAAAGGCGGCCCCCCUGGACGAAGACUGACGCUCAGGUGCGAAAAGCGUGGGGAGCAAACAGAUUAGAUACCCUGGUAGUCCACGCUG
rnacentral:rRNA from 1 species